AUUGAACGCUGGCGGCAGGCUUAACACAUGCAAGUCGAACGCGUGGCGGACGGGUGAGUAAUGCUUGGGAAUCUAGCUUAUGGAGGGGGAUAACUACGGGAAACUGUAGCUAAUACCGCAUACCAUAGGAUCAGCCCAAAUGGGAUUAGGUAGUUGGUGAGGUAAAGGCUCUCCAAGCCAACGAUCUCUAGCUGGUCUGAGAGGAUGACCAGCCACACUGGGACGGAGACACGGCCCAGACUCCUACGGGAGGCAGGAGUGGGGAAUAUUGCGCAAUGGGGGCAACCUGACGCAGCCAUGCCGCGUGUAUGAAGAAGGCCUUCGGGUUGUAAAGUUCGUUCGGGAGCGAGGCGUUAACUACAGAAGAAGCACCGGCUAACUCCGUGCCAGCAGCCGCGGUAAUAC
rnacentral:rRNA from 1 species